ACUGGUAGGCUUGGGACCGGGAGAGGUGGGAGGUACUCCAGGGGUAGGGGUGAAAUCUCGUAAUCCUUGGGGGACCACCGAUGGCGAAGGCAUCCCACCAGAACGAGUCCGACGGUGAGGGACGAAAGCUGGGGGCACGAACCGGAUUAGAUACCCGGGUAGUCCCAGCCGUAAACGAUGCUCGCUAGGUGUCAGGUGCGGUGCGACCGCAU
rnacentral:rRNA from 1 species